UACGGAGGGUGCAAGCGUUGUUCGGAAUCACUGGGCGUAAAGCGCGUGUAGGCGGUCUCUUAAGUCCGAUGUGAAAGCCCGGGGCUCACCCCCGGAAGUGCAUCGAAUACUGGGAGACUAGAGUACCGGAGAGGAAGGUGGAAUUCCUGGUGUAGCGGUGAAAUGCGUAGAUAUCAGGAAGAACACCCGUGGCGAAGGCGGCUCUCUGGGACGUGACUGACGCUGAGACGCGAAAGCGUGGGGAGCGAACAGG
rnacentral:rRNA from 1 species